UACGUAGGGGGCUAGCGUUGUCCGGAAUCAUUGGGCGUAAAGAGCGUGUAGGCGGCCCGGUAAGUCCGCUGUGAAAGUCGGGGGCUCAACCCUCGAAUGCCGGUGGAUACUGUCGGGCUAGAGUGCGGAAGAGGCGAGUGGAAUUCCUGGUGUAGCGGUGAAAUGCGCAGAUAUCAGGAGGAACACCAAUUGCGGAGGCAGCUCGCUGGGACGUAACUGACGCUGAGACGCGAAAGCGUGGGGAGCAAACAGG
rnacentral:rRNA from 1 species